UCUGGAUGAUGUCCGUCCACACGCGAAUCCUAAGCCUAUCUUCGAUUCCAUGAUCAUCAGUUUCUACUACCUCAUGUGGCAAUGGGGCUUCGAAGAAUCUAUUGGGAGGAGGACCCAGUAACUCUUCCAACUCGGUAGGAGUAUCAAGGAUAAGAUCGCUUUGAAGAUCAACUCAACUCGAGGAGAUCCAGUAGUUGCUCAUUGCACAUCCUAAAAUAGCAGCAAAACAACGUUAAGGAGCUUUCCAGGUGCAUUUUAGUCUAUCGAAUCCUUAAGUUGACUACGUUCUGUUAAACCUAUUGUUCAUAUGACAUGCUCAAAUGAAACGUAAUAUUUAUUUUUGUCAUGGGAAAAAACUUUGGAAGCGCAAAUCAAUAGAUAUGUGAUAAAUUCAGCAAAGAAAAAUAAAUACCAACCAUAUUAGUAAAAGAACUUUAAACUCUAUCAAUCAUGCAUACCGUUCUCGAAUCAACUUAGCAAGACAGAGUAAACCGAAAAGGACCAGUUUCCAUAAGUCUAUCAAAGCUUUUUUUUGACUUGGAUAUAUAUCCACACCAUCUUGGUAAGCUACUAAUAUCAACAUAUAUCAAGAAUUUUUUUUAUUUUAGUUAAAAUCAUUUCUGAAUAAACUAAGGCCAUGUAUCUGAUUUGUUAUGGCUAAGCUCCAGAAGUUGACCCAAGUAUCAACCACCUGCAUAUGUAUCAUUGACAGAGCUCUUAUAAAAUUUCCAAGGUCAUAACCCAAGCAACCACCACUAGAAUCAUUUAUCUAGGAAGCCUACUUCAAGAAGCCAGAUGGAGCUUAUAACAUAGUCAAAACCUGACAGAAACCUUUUGACAUAAGUGAUAAGACUUUUGUCAUAAACCAUUUAAGCCAGGAAGAAAAUUUUACGAGUGCUUUCUAUUUCAGUUCCUUUUACCACUUGGAUAUGAGGGUCAAAUGAUGUGAGGGUGCAGAGAAGAAAUAAAAAUAAUGCAGAGUUGUUUAGUUGCAAUUCAACGAAACAUAUACUCGCAAGGAAAGGAACAUAUGUUUAUCGCCCAAAGACUUCUGAAUGACCUUUGUCUCAAACGAAAACAAGAACAAAGGCAAGAAGAGCAUGUCUCCUGUGAUGGUAAGGUAGAUGGACUCCAUCUCUUCGUAGCGCGUCUUGACGAGAACGAUGCAAAGGUAGGAGGGAAGAAUUAAACGGAAAAGAACUAAAAGCGCACUUACAUUGCUAGUUCGUUCCCCCUUGCCACCUCAUUUUUGUCGGCAGUGUAACUAAUGUGGUUUUGUUGGCGCUGAGAAGAGUGAGUGACUUAAAACAGAGAGAGAGAGAGAGAGAGAGAGAGAGAGGAGUGCACGCCAACUUUCAAAAAUUCUUAUAGAACACCCUUAUCACGCAAAAAGAUUGUUUUAUCAUUCUUUCUAGACAUCAGGGGCAUCGCGGGUGCCUAGACUAGCCCUAGCCACCUCCAUCGCUUGUUACAUGCAAUGUGUGUCUUUUCAGGGUAAGUGGGUACGACUAUUGCAACUAGUGGAACCAGCUCAUGCAUGAUAGUAAAGGCAUAAUUGUGACACUUAUUUAAGAUGGAGGGAGCUAGUCAGUCGAAAUAGCUAGCUCAUGAUAGUGCAAAUGCAAUAGAGGUGUAGGCACAAUGCAAGCAUGCCAAAGGCACAUGCGUGAUACCUAUUCAAGGUGGAGGAGAGCAGCUAGUAAGGCUACUCUUAUGCUAAGACAUAGAUGGCUAGUGUGUUGGAAAACUUUGGAAAGCAUUAUAUGUGCUGUGAAAAAUAAAAACUAAAAUUGAUUUUCUAAAGAAUAAUAUCUGGUCGUGUGCGAAGAUUAGUGCAAGAAAAAAUCAUAAAAUAAAAAAUUACGUAACAAGUGUGAGAUUUUUUACCUAGGGGAGAUCAUAUAUCCUUUGGUCCUCUCCUAUUUAUAGAUCUUUCCUCUCCUAUUCUAUUAGGUGUUGGAUCUCUAUCCAAUUAUCUAAGCCUCUUGGAUUAGUGGAUCUUUAUUCAACAAUCACUUAUUAACACUUAUGGGAUCUCAUUCAAAGGAUCUAAUAAUACACGAGCUUAUUAGAUAUCUAAUAAAACACGAGCUCGACGGAUAUCUCAUAUCGAAACCUUUACUCGUCAUUAUAUGUACCAUAUGUGUGUGCCCUCUAUGCCCAAUAUUGAGCUGGCCAUGAGUUGCACAUGUCAAAACUCCUUUUCACUCAAAACUUUUUCUAACUCGGUGAAUUGUUAUCCUAUAACAAUUCAUUCAACUCAUCGAUUAUGGACGUACUAGGCCACUAUGUCAUAGUCCUCAAACGAUAUAGAGGGAUCUAAUCUAUUUGACCUAUUUGCCCUUAGUUAUUAUGUAUCUAUAGUCCCUCACCUAUUUAAUAUCCUAGAGACCGUAUACUAGGUAUGAUACCAUUAGGCCCAUACAGAAUCCAUUUGAGUUUCACUCUAAUCAGAUUCUCCCAAAGAACUCUUUCUCUCCCAAUUUGAACAACCCUGACUAGGGAUUUGCCUGGGUAAUAAUAUAUGAGAUACUCCUCUAAGAAUUAGCCCCGUUGUUGUCGUAAUAUAUGGGAAUCAGCUCCUUACUGCUCGGUACGACUCUUAGAUCUAUAAUAAACUUCUUCGUCUAGACUCCCUCCUUUGCUACUUCUAAUACAACAAUAUACUUCGCCUCUAUGAUCGAGUCAAUAGUAGUAUCUUUGUUGGAACUUUUCUAGUUUAUUGCUCCUCCAUUUAGGGUGAACACAUACCUUGAGUUUGACUUGCUAUCAUCAACAUCGGACUGGAAACUCUAGUUCAUAUAGCCCUCAUCUUAGAGACUACCUCCUUUGUAUACCAUUAAAAAAUCUUUAAUUUUUCUCAAGUACUUCAAGAUAUACUUAAUUGCUUUCUAGUGUUCCAAACCUAGAUCCGCCUUAUACUUGCUCAUGGUACUCAAAGUAUGCGCUAUAUCAGGCCUAGUAUAUAGCAUAAUAUACAUGAUAAACCCUAUCAUAGAUGCAUAUGUUAUCCUAUCCAUAUUUGUCCUUUUUUCAAGAGUCUUUAGAGAUAUACUUCUGAAAAGUGAUAUUCCAUGUCUAAGGGUAAUAGAAAUAAUACCCACAAGUUUCCUUGGAGUAUCCCAUGAACUUACAUCGUUCUAUCCUUGAUUUUAACUUAUCGGAGUUAUGUCUUCUACUAUGGGUAGGGCAACCCUAAAUCUUAGCAAUCAAAAGAUCGGGCUUCCUUCCUUUCUAUAUCUCAUAUGGCGUAGUCACUACUGAUUUAGAUGAAACUCCGUUCAAAAGGUAAACUCCGGACUCUAGUGCGUAUCCAAGAAUGAGAUAGGUAGGUCGAUAAAACUCAUCAUGGACUACAUUAUAUCCAAUAGUGUGUGAUUUCUCUUUUUUGAUAUACCAUUGAGCUAAGUGUAUAAGGAGGUGUCCAUUGGGAUAGAAUCCCAUGGUCGUUGAGGAAUUGAGUGAACUCUAUACUCAAGUACUCUUCUCGAUUUGAUCGAAGAUUCUUAAUACUCUUUCCAGUCUAGUUCUCUACUUAAUUCUUGUUGAAUCUCAGAUUUUGAUGAUAAAAUUAAUUGAUGAAUUUAUGAUCUAAUCCAUGUUUUGAGAAAAGUGAUGCAAGAGUAAUUACGAUCAUGAAAAGGUAAAAUAAAUAAAGUAAAAGAAUCAGACGUUGGACUAGAGUCAAAGAUGAGGCAUCGGGUCGGAAGAAUCGAACGUUGCACCAAGAUUGAAUGUUGUGGAAGUCAAUAUGCCAAUAGAUCGAGCGAUACACCGAAGGUUCGAACGAUGUGCCAAAAGUUUGUCAGAAGUUCGUCGGGAGUUUGGAUGAACAAAUGACAUACCAAACAAUUGAGAUUGCUUAUAUUGUAAUUGUUUAAGCCUUAAUUGUCAUAGUUAGGUCUUAGUUUGAGUUAGUUUUAGGAGUAAUCCUACUAACUCAAAUAGGAGCCAAUUGGGGCUAAAUCAGGGCUAAAUGGGGCCUAUUGGUUGGCUCAUUUAGUGACCUAGAGCCAGGUCAGGCGACAACACCACUAGGGCUAGCGGUGGAACAACUUGAGGCUCGGCCUCCUAAGUAGUGUUUAGGCAAUGAUACAGCCUAGUGUCAGGCGAUGGUAUAUGUUGGGAAAUCUAGGGCGACAUCACAUGUGUAGUCAAAGAACAAAAUCUAAAAUCUUAGAAUUCUCGUAAAAAAAAUAAGGUUUUAUCAUCGUGCAAAGAUUGGUGCACAAAAUCCCGUAAAACUAAAAAACUACGCAUAUAAGAAAGAUGUGUUAAAUAGGGAGAUUGUAUCUCCCUGAAAAACUAUAGAUCUAUGGGAGAGGAUGAAAGAGGUCAACUAUCCUCCUCUCUAGCAGUGAUCCAUAUGGUUGAGGUUAUGAAGACGGUCCUCAAAUCGCUGCCCAAACCUCUUCCUUGUGCGCACCACACAAUCAAGAAGGGGCUGCCCCUUCUUAAUGUCCAUACGCCCCAAAUAGGGGUUGCAGUAUGAGAAGAGGGAGAGAAGAGAAUAGGAGGUGACAACCAAAAGAACCUAGCCCAUGGCCCUUUGGUUCCCUCCUAUUUAUAGAGGCCCCCUAUAAACUUACCCUAAUGGAUCAUACCAUAUUGGGUACUAGGUCUCUAACUAACUACCCAUGCUACCUAGAUUAGUGAGUCUCUACCCAAUAAUCUCUCAUUGGCUUUUAUUGGAUCUCAUCCAUAGGAUCUAAUAAUUCAGGGGCUUCUUGAAUAUCCAAUAAGAUAGGGGUUCCAUCGGAUAUCUCAUAUUCGAACCUUUACUCGUCGCAACACCUACCUUAUGUGUGUGACCCUCUAGGCUCAAUAUCAAGCUAGCAAUGAGUCAUACCUAUCAGAACUCCUUCUAGCUUAGUGAAUUAUUAUCUUCAUAAUAAUUCACUCAACUCAUCGACUACGAACGUACUAGGCCACUAUGCCAUAGUCCCCAGACGAUACAAGGGAAUCAAAUCCAUUGGACCUAUCUGUCCUUAGUUACCAUGUAUCUAUAGUCUCUUAUCCAUCUAAUACUCUAGAGAUUGUAUACCAGGCAUGAUGUUGUUAGGCCUAUACGGUUUCUACUCGAGUCUCGCUCUAAUCGGAGUCUCCUUGAGAACUCGUUUUUUAUCAAUCCGAAUGACCCUAGCCAGUGAUUUGUCUGAACGAGAACACAUGAGAUAUUCCUCUCGAAACACCAAGAGUGGAUGAUCGUCUAUUGAUACUCAAUAGCCCUCGUAAGGUUGGCUACCACUCCCGAUGACCAAUUAUACUAGAUCUGAAACUUCUAGGCCUAUAAGUCUGGUAUCAAAGAGUAGAGUACUCAUACAGGAUAUCCUUGAUGUCUCAAGUCUAAGGACCAAAUACACCACUAAGAGUAUGAAAUCACUAUCUAAUAAUAAGGCAUCAUCAACCAUCCAACAUUCCAUGAGCAGAUCAAUCAAUGAACUCAUUCUCCAAUGAGCACCUACACUGUAUCCCUAGUGUCCCUACAUGAGUAGAUAUAAGACUAGCUGCCUCCAUCAUAUGGAUCGGUAUAUAGUACACCAGUCUAUCCGGUUAUCUCGAUAUCCCUCUUGAGUAACCUAUAACCGGGAUUAUUGAAGGUAUGUGUUUAAAGGUAAAUUGGUUUUAUUAUCGUGAUCUCAUCACAAUCCGAUUUCCAUUGCAUAGAUCCAUGGACAUCACAAUAUAUAUAUUCAUACAACAAGUAAUAUAAAGUAAUAAAACAUCAAAUAAUAUAAUAAAUAAAAAGAGUAGGUGUUAUAUCACAUAUGCCAUCACUCACAUGAUUGGCUUACAGGGCACCUAUGACUAGCAAUCUCUCAAGUCGAGUCAGUAGUAGUAUCUUGCUUAGAACUCUUCCAGCAUACUACUCCUCCAUUUAGGGUGUACACAUAUCCCGAAUUCGACUUGUCAUCGAUAUUAGAUUGAAAAUUCGAGUCAGUGUAGCCCACAACCCUAAGGCUACUACCUCCAUAUACCAGUAAAAGAUCCUUAAUCCUUCUCUGUUAGGAUUAAGAGUAGCACUAAGAGGGGGGGGAGGUAAAUUAGUGCAGCGAAAAAAUCAUCGAUUUUGUAAGAUAUUCGUUCAUUGAAAACCAAUUUUAGAAAGUGCUUGACUUUAGAGUAAAUGAACUAGCAGUUAACUUAGAAAGUAAUAGCAGUAGUAAAAAGCAGAAUGGAAAUGAGCAUACCAGAAUUUAUAGUGGUUCGGUCAUUGUGACUUAUAUCCACUUUCGAUUCCUCCUCCGUCGAGGUCACCGACAUCCACUAAUAGUCUUCCUUUAAUGAACAAAGACCAACCACCCUCUUUAUUGUGCUUUAUCCUUUUCAUGAGUUUAGGAUAUAACCCUUAUAAGUCUCACACCUCUCUUGAAUGAUCACAACAUUAGAAAGGGAGGAGGAGGACUUUUAGCACUCUUACAACACUUUUAAUGCCCCAAGACUUUAAGAUAUUUUUCACACUUCCAUGCUCUUUCAUGCAGAAAAGGGUGGGGUAUUUAUAGGCCCCAAUGACUUCAAAAUUGGAGUCAAAAUGUGUCUCAUCCCAGAUUUCCAAGGUACUAAUAGUAUCACUAUCAUUAUUGAGUGGUACUACCACCUGCAGAAUGACACUAGGCAGUACCAUCGCUCAAUCUAGGUGGUAUGACCACCUAAUAGAGCUUGAAGACUAAGCUUUGGUAGUACCAUCGCUUGAUAGGGGCGGUACCACCGCUUGGCAGCAUUAACUACCGAUGGUACCACCAUCUAGACCACCGGGGAGACUAUCACCAAGCGGUGCCACCGCUGUCGUAACUUUAGGUGCUGAAUAGGCUGUUCAAGUAGCUAAGUUCAGCCCUGUUAAGGGUCCAGUUGGCCCAUAACCGAGUUAGUAGGAUUACCUCCCAAUCCUAACUCAACGUAAGAUCUAACUAUAAUAAUUAAGAUAUUUAAACAAGCAAUCUCUGUCUGGUAUGGUUAUUGUUCUUUUAGCGAUCUUCCAACGAACUUCUCAGCAAACUUCUGGCGAACUCCCGACAAACUCUCAACGAACUCCCGACAAACUCUCGGCGAGCUCCCAACGAACUCUUGGUGAGCUUCUAGCAAACUUCCGACACAUCAUCCGAAUAUUCGGCGUAUCAUCCGAUCUUUGACUCCGGCCCAACAUCUGCUUUAUGCCUUACUGCUAUCUUAGUUAAUCCUACAUACAUCAAAUAAUUUACUAAUUGAUUUCAUCAUCAAAAUCCGAGAUUCAACAAUAUCUCCCUUUUUGAUGAUGACAAUCAAUUGAUGACGGAGUUAACCUUAACUCCCCCAUCUAUAUGCCACACUUGAGAAAAGAAAUUCUUGAAUUUAAGCAUCAAACUGAUAAGUUAUAUUUAUUUAAACUUAUCAACAUGCACAUCAUGAUACUUAUCAUGAUUUACCAAUUCAAUAUAUGAUAUCACGUAUUUAUCAAUAAAAAAAUAAUGUCAAGGCUUGACAUCCAUUUUCAAGUUUAAUGAUGAUAGACCCAAUCAUCAUUUUCAAGUAUGAAUUUCAAAUAUAAAAUUUAGCAAGAUGAUAAUUCUUGAUAAAAGAUAAUAAUUCAUCAUUCCGAGGCAUGAUAUCAAUUGUAAAUAGCAAGUUAAGCUCAUGAUACCUUAUCAUAAUGAUAGACAAUUAUUAUUCAUGAAACAUUUCAAGUAUCUAUAACGCAUAUGAAAUACAUUUUGAUAUGUUUCAAGUAUUUACGAUAUGUUGUGACGUAUUUGAUGAUUCUAAUUAUAUUUCAAGCAUUCGCAAAACAUUCAAGUAUUUAUGACAAGAUACAUUUAUCUCCAACAUGCUAAUUUAUCAUUAAUUUACCAUAUUUCUCCCCCUUUGUCAUUAACAAAAAGGAGAACCAUUUAACAAUGCAAGUGUGGUAAACAAAAUUAAGCAAGUUUCACACUAAUUUAUCUAAACAAUAAAGGAAGGUAAGCAAAAACUUUUCAUGAUAACCUUUUUGGAUAACCUAAUAUUUUUACUCAAGGGCUUUUUGGUUCUUCGCAAGUUUCUUUCUUCCUUUGUCAUAAUAAUAAUAUGUAUCUAAAUUGAUGAUUUCUAAAUAUGAUUAAAAAAUACUUUAUUUUUAAUGAAAUCAUGCUUAAUGGUUUAAUAAUGAAAUAAUAUAAGUAUCAUGCUUGACGAUUUUAUAUUUAAUUAUGCAUGAUGAUUUUUGUGAUUUAUGGCUUAUCGGUUUGUACCGUAAUGAAAGUUAUUUUUUCGAUUUUAAAAAUGAUACAUUUUUUUAUAUUGCAUAAAAGAAAAAACAUGCUUAUAUGAAAUCAAUCACUUAAAAUAAACACAUAAAAGAAAAAUAUAUUAUCAUUGGAAUUAAAAUGAUGAAUCAAAUCUCUUGUUUAAAGAAGCCUUAUGUUUAAUGUGUUAUAGUUUUUUGGUCUUGAUGAUUUUUAUGAAGAAAUUUACUUUUCAAUCCUAAACAUGAUGCGUGGUUUUGACAUAAGAACAAAUAUUUGGGCAUGCUAAUAUAAAGUCAAUCACACAAAUUAAAACUAAAGAAGUUUAUAUAUCUUUAAGAAUCAUUCAACAUUAUGUUCAACAAAACCAUGCUUGAUGUCUUAAUGAAAAUAUAAUGAUGAUUUGAAAGCAUGCUUAAUGAGUUUAUAUUUCGAACUUAUGCAUGAUAAUUUUUACGAUCUUUUGAAAGUUCUUUUUUGGUGUUAAUGAAUGAUGCAUGGAUAUGAAAGAAAAGAAAAUGCAUGUAUAAAAUCAAUCAAUAAGUUAAAACAAAAGGAGGAAAGCAUUUUUCUUGAAAAUUUUCUUUUUUUCUAUCUUAUCGAUUUUUACUAAGAGACUAAUAAAAUUAUUAAUGCCAUUUUGAAUCUCUUGAAAGAAAUGUUGAGAUUUUGAUGAUUUUGACGAUUUGAAUUUGAAUGAGUUUUAUCAAAUCAUGAUCUUGGUUUCUUAGAAUUACUUGAGAUUUUUUGAAUCAAGAUCUCUUCUUUGUACUCAUAUGAUUUUUUUCUUGGUAUUUUAUUUAAAGAAGAGAUUUACUAUAUGAAUCAUGUCUUUUGGUAUGCAAAUGGUCUUAUCUUUCAUGACAUGAUUUCUUUGUAUUUAUGACUUGUAUGCCUUAUAAUGAUUGAAAUAUUUUAUACCAUUAUGUUCUUCCCUUCUUCUUUCUUGUUUACAAUGAUAAAAGGGGAAGAAGUGUUAUGAUCAUGGUAGGAUGUAAUUUGAUAAAUUGAUACCAUCAUGAUGUGAAAUAUUUAUAACUCAGAAUAAUGCAUGUAAUACUAUGAUUUGUUGCUAAAAUGAUGAAUGCUUGAGUAUCAUGUAUGAUAUGCCCAUAUGAUGAUUUAUUUUUGGUAUCAUACAUGAAAAAUAAAAUGUAAGGUUUUUAAAUUGUACAUGUUUUAAUGAUGCACAAACAUAAGAAUGAUACUUUACCUUUGUCAUGGUUUAGAAAUUGAUGUAAAGGGAAAAGAAUUAUAACUUUGUAUUCUUCCCUUCUUCUUGACAAUGACAAAGGGGGAGAAAUAUUGCUAGCUUGCAUGAUGAUAUAUGGAGAAAGAAUGGCUAGAAACGUAAAAAAUGCUAGCUUGCACGUUUUAAGUAGAUGCAAAAACAUGCUAUCUUGCAUAUAUCAAAAAGUGUAAAAAAUUUUGCAAAAAAAACUCACUAUCUUGCAUAAUGCAAAACUUGUUAGCUUGCUUCAUAUAAAACAUUGUAUCUUGCUAGCUUGUUAUCUUGCAUUAUUUUUCAAAAACUUGCUAGCCUUCAUACUUCAAAGAGAAGUAAAACUUACCAAAUUGUUAUCUUGCAUGUUAUAAAAUAAUAUAAAAUUUUGUUAGCUUGCACUUUGCAAAGGAAGCAAAAAUCGCACUUCUCAAAAGAGAAGAAGAGAUUGCUAUCUUGAACAUCACCAAAAAUUACUAACUUGUCUAUCUUAAGAAGCAAAAAUAUAAAUUUAUAAAAUUUGUAAUCAUGCACAUCUUUAAAAUUAAUGAUGAUUUGGUGAUUAUACAUGUUGUAAAUAUUAGGAACGAGUCGGCACUAAGGAGGGGGGGGGGGGGGGGUGAAUUAGUGCUGCGGUAAAAUCACGUCGGUUUAAGAAAAUUCUUUCGUUUCGUGCAUUGAAAGCUGAUUUAGGAAGAUGUUAAUUGAAAGCAUAUUCAUAAACGUAUUGAAAGAAAUAAGCAAGUAAGGAGGUUUGCAGUAAGAUAAAUUGCACAAAAGAAAAGGCAAAUUGGAUUUUUAUAGUGGUUCGGUCAUCGUGACCUACAUCCACCCCACCGAUUCCUUUUCUGUGGAGGCCACUGACAUCCACUAUCGAUCUUCCUUUAAUAGAUGAAGAUUAAACUCCUUCUUACACCCCUCUUCUCCUUUUCACGAGUUUAGGAGACAACCUUUACAAGCACUUACUCCUCUCUCAAACUAUUCUAACACUUAGACUUGGAGAGGAGGAUUCUCGUAAGAGAUUACAAUAGCGUUUUUUCCUUUUUAAAUUCUCUGUGCUGGUAUAUGUUAAUCAGGGAUAAGAGGGGUAUUUAUAGGCUUCAAGUUGAUUGAAACUUAGAGCCUAAAAAGGUCUCAUCCCAGGUUUCCUAGGUACUGAUGGUACCAUCAUCAUUCUUGAGCGGUACCAUCGCUGCAAGAUCUACCACUGGAUGGUACCACUGCUUGACAAUGGUGGUACCACCGCUGGCAGCAUUCACUGUCGGUGGUACCACCGCCCAGCCUGGACAGUACCACAGCCUAGAAUUCCUAGGGUGAUGUUCCCCAAGCGGUGCCACCAUCGGCCAGGCUUUUAGCACCCUGGUUGGGCCUUGAAUCUAGCCCAAACCAACCCAAGUUCGAGCCUAGUUGGCCCCUAAUAGAGUUGAUGAGAUUACCUUCCAAUCCUAACUCUAGUUAUGUGCUAACUAUGAUUCCUAAGACAUAUUCUAAGCAAAAUAAGUUUGGUUUCUUCCGGCAAGUUUCCAGCGAUCUUCCGGUAAACUUCCAACGAUCUCUCGGUAAUGUUCCGGCGAACUCUCAGCAAGCUCUUGGACUUCACGAUAAUAUUCUUGGCGAGUUCCGACAAGCUUCUUUAGCAAGCUCCAAGACUUCUCAGUCAAUUUUGUUGAAUCUCGUAUUUUGAUGAUGAAACUACUUGAUAUAUGUUUAUGAUUUAAUCUGCAUUUUGAGUGACGUAGGAUGCUUCGAUCAGGAUGAGACAAUUAAAGCAGGAAAAUCAUGUUGUGCCGGAGGAACAUGUCAGAAGAUUGGACGUCGGGCCGGUGGAUCGGUCGACGUAUCGACAGAAGGCUUUGGGCCGUGGACUCGGGCAUCGUGCCAAGAAGAUCAGGUAUUGUGCCAAGGAUAUCGGAGUUGCGGAGUCAACUGGCCGAUUGGGCAAUAGGCUGCAGGAGAGGACGAUGCGCCGAAGAAUCGGACGAAGCGUCGAGGGACCAAUGACAUGUCGGACAACUUGGUUAAUUGCUUAGGAUUAAUUGUCUCAAUCGAAGUUUUGUUUUAAGUGUGCAGGAUUAACUACGAUGAAAGUAAGAUAUGCAACGGGAGUUGC
rnacentral:lncRNA from 1 species